GACGAACGCUGGCGGCGUGCUUAACACAUGCAAGUCGAGCGGUAAGGCCCUUUCGGGGGUACGACGAGCGGCGAACGGGUGGAGUAACACGUGGGUGACCUGCCCUCAGCUCUGGGAGUAAGCCCGGGAAACUGGGUCUAAUACUGGAUAUGACUCCAUGACGCAUGUUGUGGGGUGGAAAGCCUUGUGCGGCUGAGGAUGGGCCCGCGGCCUAUCAGCUUGUUGGUGGGGGNGAUGGCCUACCAAGGCGACGACGGGUAGGCCGGCCUGAGAGGGCGGACCGGCCACACUGGGACUGAGACACGGCCCAGACUCCUACGGGAGGCAGCAGUGGGGAAUCUUGCGCAAUGGGCGAAAGCCUGACGCAGCGACGCCGCGUGAGGGAUGACGGCCU
rnacentral:rRNA from 1 species